rnacentral:rRNA from 1 species
UUGUCUCAAAGAUUAAGCCAUGCAUGUCUCAGUACAAGCCGAAUUAAGGUGAAACCGCGAAAGGCUCAUUAAAUCAGUUAUGGUUCCUUAGAUCGUACCCACAUUUACUUGGAUAACUGUGGUAAUUCUAGAGCUAAUACAUGCAAACAGAGCUCCGACCGGAGACGGAAGGAGCGCUUUUAUUAGAUCAAAACCGAUCGGUGGCGGGCGCGUUCGCGCGCGCACGUCAUCGUACAUCUUGGUGACUCUGAAUAACUUUUUGCUGAUCGCACGGUCUCGCACCGGCGACGCAUCUUUCAAAUGUCUGCCUUAUCAACUGUCGAUGGUAGGUUCUGCGCCUACCAUGGUCGUAACGGGUAACGGGGAAUCAGGGUUCGAUUCCGGAGAGGGAGCCUGAGAAACGGCUACCACAUCCAAGGAAGGCAGCAGGCGCGCAAAUUACCCACUCCCGGCACGGGGAGGUAGUGACGAAAAAUAACGAUACGGGACUCAUCCGAGGCCCCGUAAUCGGAAUGAGCACACUCUAAACACUUUAACGAGGAUCAAUUGGAGGGCAAGUCUGGUGCCAGCAGCCGCGGUAAUUCCAGCUCCAAUAGCGUAUAUUAAAGUUGUUGCGGUUAAAAAGCUCGUAGUCGAAUUUGUGUCCCGCGCCGCCGGUUCAUCGUACGCGGUGUCAACUGGCGUGUCUUUUUCGCGGGACGUCCUGCCGGUGGGCUCAGCGCGCGUCGCGCGCGCGUUCGCCUCAAAAACGGGUGCGCGCGUGCGUGUGCGGCCCAACUCAAUCCCGCCGCGGUGCUCUUCACUGAGUGUCGAGGUGGGCCGGCACGUUUACUUUGAACAAAUUAGAGUGCUUAAAGCAGGCUAAAACUUCGCCUGAAUACUGUGUGCAUGGAAUAAUGGAAUAGGACCUCGGUUCUAUUUUGUUGGUUUUCGGAACCCCGAGGUAAUGAUUAAUAGGAACGGAUGGGGGCAUUCGUAUUGCGACGUUAGAGGUGAAAUUCUUGGAUCGUCGCAAGACGGACAGAAGCGAAAGCAUUUGCCAAAAACGCUUUCAUUGAUCAAGAACGAAAGUUAGAGGUUCGAAGGCGAUCAGAUACCGCCCUAGUUCUAACCAUAAACGAUGCCAGCUAGCGAUCCGCCGACGUUCCUCCGAUGACUCGGCGGGCAGCUUCCGGGAAACCAAAGCUUUUGGGUUCCGGGGGAAGUAUGGUUGCAAAGCUGAAACUUAAAGGAAUUGACGGAAGGGCACCACCAGGAGUGGAGCCUGCGGCUUAAUUUGACUCAACACGGGAAACCUCACCAGGCCCGGACACCGGAAGGAUUGACAGAUUGAGAGCUCUUUCUUGAUUCGGUGGGUGGUGGUGCAUGGCCGUUCUUAGUUGGUGGAGCGAUUUGUCUGGUUAAUUCCGAUAACGAACGAGACUCUAGCCUGCUAACUAGGCGUAUUUCGACAUCCCAAAGGCCCGCCGGCCGUCGUCGCGUUCGCGCGGCUUCGGUUCGUGCGCGGUUUUUACUGUCGGCGUACAAACAAUUCUUCUUAGAGGGACAGGCGGCUUCUAGCCGCACGAGAUUGAGCAAUAACAGGUCUGUGAUGCCCUUAGAUGUUCUGGGCCGCACGCGCGCUACACUGAAGGAAUCAGCGUGUCCUCCCUGGCCGAGCGGUCCGGGUAACCCGCUGAACCUCCUUCGUGCUAGGGAUUGGGGCUUGCAAUUGUUCCCCAUGAACGAGGAAUUCCCAGUAAGCGCGAGUCAUAAGCUCGCGUUGAUUACGUCCCUGCCCUUUGUACACACCGCCCGUCGCUACUACCGAUUGAAUGAUUUAGUGAGGUCUUCGGACUGGAGCGCGGUGGCGUUUCGGCGUCGCCGAUGUUUCCGGAAAGAUGACCAAACUUGAUCAUUU